AUUGAACGCUGGCGGCAGGCCUAACACAUGCAAGUCGAGCGGAUGAAGGGAGCUUGCUCCUGGAUUCAGCGGCGGACGGGCGAGUAAUGCAUAGGAAUCUGCCUGGCAGUGGGGGAUAACGUCCGGAAACGGGCGCUAAUACCGCACACGUCCUGAGGGUGAAAGUGGGGGAUCUUCGGACCUCACGCUAUCAGAUGAGCCUAGGUCGGAUUAGCUAGCUGGUGGGGUAAAGGCCUACCAAGGCGACGAUCCGUAACUGGUCUGAGAGGAUGAUCAGUCACACUGGAACUGAGACACGGUCCAGACUCCUACGGGAGGCAGCAGUGGGGAAUAUUCGACAAUGGGCGAAAGCCUGAUCCAGCCAUGCCGCGUGUGUGAAGAAGGUCUUCGGAUUGUAAAGCACUUUAAGUUGGGAAGAAGGGCAGUAAGUGAAUACCUUGCUGUUUUGACGUUACCAACAGAAUAAGCACCGGCUAACUUCGUG
rnacentral:rRNA from 1 species